CAAUAAAAUUUGAUCCUCACUGAAAAUCCAACUCUCUUUACAUACAAACUGAAUUUUGCGAACUGAAUUUGAGAGUUGGAUUUUCAGUGAGGAUCAAAUUUUAUUG
rnacentral:miRNA from 1 species